rnacentral:misc_RNA from 1 species
AAAAAAAAAAAAAAGAAAAGGUCGACUAAAAAGGCGGAGCAGAAAAAGAUGAAGCGGCUGCAGCCUGCACAUGGUAAUGAAGUAUUGAAAUUAGGUUCGCAUCUGGAAAUCUUUUACUGGAGGUAAACUCUUGCUCGAAGCAAUGGUUAUAAGCAUAUACUGUAAUGAGAGAUAUUGAUACCACAAAUACUGUCUUUUGUUUCAUAGUUGGUUGUAUCUCAGCGUCUCGUGGGGAAUCCACGUAUAGUUUCGUAGAGUAUGAUUUUCUAUGUUUCUUUUUAGCAAAUUCUGCUCAUCUUUGUGAAUCUAUUUUAUCGAGACUUUGGAAACCUGGUAUCAGCAAAGAUUAGGAAGGGUAAAAUGGGUACUGUUGUUACUUUUAAUAGUUUUUUUU